rnacentral:lncRNA from 1 species
AUGACGAUGAAGAUGGAAUCUGGCAGGAUUACAGGCAUGCUCCUCUCCUCCGUCCAGUAUUGAAGUUCUGAGGCUGGAACUCAAAGUUUCAUGCACACUUCCCCAAGACAAGUGGCAUGCCUGCUGAAUUCUUGUAAAGAGGAGCGUGCAGGGAGAAAUGUGGAAGCUAAUAUUUAAAAAGUUAUCACACUGCAGAAGGACCGGCUGACGCACAUAGAACGGGAGAGACAACUGGAGCAAAAGGGGGCACUGCUUCUUGGGAGGCUUACUUGUCAGCACAUCUGUGGGAAUCUAUUUCUUCAGUCUUCCAGCUCAUACAGAAGACCAGCUGAAACAGCGACCCUUGUGGGACUGAGCAACUCCUAGACUCUUGACUUCCCAAUCACAGUUGCCCAUUGUUGGGCUGGUUGGACUGCAGACUGAGUAUAACUAAGACCCUGGGGAUUAUAAUCUAGUGUAAACAUGUGUGGCAUCUUCAUCUGGAUCCUGGAGAGUAAACCCAGGUCUUCAUGUAUGGAAGGAAACAGAAAGCAAGACAGGAAGCAGUCAGAGGUGACAUGUCUCCACGCGCUACAGUAACUUACUUCCUCGAGUUUAGUCUCAUCUCCUAAAGUUUCCAGAAUCUUCAGAAAUAGUUCAUCAUCUGAGGGCAGGGCUAGACCACUCCUCAGCAUAGUUCCAAAGAAUUCCACAUCUUACUCUAUAGAAAGCUGCUCAGCCCUCUUCACUGAUGCUCUAUUCACAAUAGCUAGGAAAUGGAAACAACCUGACUGUUCUUCUACUGAUGAAAGACUAAUGAAAACGUGCCACAGAUAGACUAUGGAAUAUUGCUCAGCUGUGAAAAUGUGCUACAGAUAAGACUAUGGAAUAUUACUCAGCUGUAAAGAAAAAAAAAUCAUGAAAAUUUCAGCAAACAGAACUGAACUUCUUCUGACCUUAUAGUAAAAUGGCUUCCAUCACUCAGAUGGAGUCAGGCUGGCCCAUCACUAGCCCCAACCAAUAUAUCUACCACAGAAAUCCUGCUCCCAAGGAUCAGGAAUCAUGUGGAAGAAGAGGAGGCAGACCGAUUGUAAGAGACAGAGGGAACAGGAAGUUUGCUAUGAGAUUUUUGUCUCAGAAAUGUCAAGGAAGCUAUACCCACGAAGCCUCAACUUGGCUGUUUCAAGACCUGAACAAGAACCAUACCAAUAGGCAUAUUAAUAUGGAAUGGAGAAUUCUUAGGGGACCCCACCCCUAGACAAAGAACUGCAGACAAUUAAGUAAUUCUGAGUGGGAGAAAUAGUCUUCUCUAGGGAAGAGACACCCCAAUUAGUUAUCCAGUACAAAAUGAUCAGUCCUGAAAUAAUAUACAUACAAUUAACAUGUAUGUGUUUAUGUUAUGAGCAGGCUGAUUUAUAUAUCUAUGAAUGUAUGUAUAAGCAAUGAAAAAAUAGAGGCCAUGAAUAUGAGCGAGAGCAAGGAAUGCAUGAGAUGGGUUGGAGGAAGGAAAAGGAAGGUGAAAUGCUGUAAUUAUAUCCUAAUUUCAAAAAUAAGAAUUAUUAAAAAUAAAAACAAAAACAAAC